rnacentral:rRNA from 1 species
UACGUAGGGGGCUAGCGUUGUCCGGAUUUACUGGGCGUAAAGGGCGCGUAGGCGGACAGUUAAGUUGGGGGUGAAAGCCCGGGGCUCAACCUCGGAAUUGCCUUCAAUACUGGCUGUCUUGAGUGUGAGAGAGGUGUGUGGAACUCCGAGUGUAGAGGUGAAAUUCGUAGAUAUUCGGAAGAACACCAGUGGCGAAGGCGACACACUGGCUCACUACUGACGCUGAGGCGCGAAAGCGUGGGGAGCAAACAGG